rnacentral:rRNA from 1 species
UCUUCGGUUGAAUUAGUAAACUGGCGGAUGGGUGAGUAACGCGUAGGUAACCUGCCCUUAUGAUUGGGAUAACCCUGCGAAAGUGGGGCUAAUACCGAAUGUGAUUUCGAUUGCACAUGCAGACGAAAUUAAAGUUGGUUAUGCUAACACAUAAGGAUGGACCUGCGUCCCAUUAGCUAGUUGGUAAGGUAACUGCUUACCAAGGCAACGAUGGGUAGCUGGUCUGAGAGGAUGAUCAGCCACACUGGGACUGAGAUACGGCCCAGACUCCUACGGGAGGCAGCAGUGGGGAAUAUUGCGCAAUGCCCGCAAGGGUGACGCAGCGACGCCGUGUGGGUGAAGAAGCUCUAAGGAGUGUAAAGCCCUGUCAGAGGGGAAGAAAGAUUUGGUUUCGAAAGGGGCUAUGUUUGACUGUACCCUCAGAGGAAGCUCCGGCUAACUCCGUGCCAGCAGCCGCGGUAAUACGGGGGGAGCUAGCGUUGUCCGGAAUCACUGGGCGUAAAGGGCGUGUAGGCGGGCUGGAAAGUCAGGUGUGAAAUACUAUGGCUCAACCAUAGAGUGUCAUCUGAAACUGCCAGUCUUGAGUUCGGAAGAGGGUGGUAGAAUUCCCGGUGUAGCGGUGAAAUGCGUAGAUAUCGGGAGGAAUACCGGAGGCGAAGGCGGCCACCUGGUCCGACACUGACGCUGAGGCGCGAAAGCGUGGGCAGCAAACAGGAUUAGAUACCCUGGUAGUCCACGCCGUAAACGAUGGGCACUAGAUGUCGGUUUUGUCUAAGGCAGAAUCGGUGUCGCAGCUAACGCAUUAAGUGCCCCGCCUGGGGAGUACGCUCGCAAGGGUGAAACUCAAAGGAAUUGACGGGGGCCCGCACAAGCGGUGGAGCAUGUGGUUUAAUUCGAUGCAACGCGAAGAACCUUACCGGGGCUUGAACUGCAAGGUAAACCCCAUGAAAGUGGGACUGUUCUUCGGAACGACCUUGUAGAGGUGCUGCAUGGCUGUCGUCAGCUCGUGUCGUGAGAUGUUGGGUUAAGUCCCGCAACGAGCGCAACCCUUGCCCUUAGUUGCCAGCAUGUAAUGGUGGGCACUCUAAGGGGACUGCCGGCGAUAAGCUGGAGUAAGGUGGGGAUGACGUCAAGUCCUCAUGGCCCUUACGUCCCGGGCUACACACGUGCUACAAUGGCCGGUACAACAGGUUGCAAAGCCGCAAGGUGGAGCCAAUCCUAAAAAACCGGCCUCAGUUCGGAUUGCAGUCUGCAACUCGACUGCAUGAAGUCGGAAUCGCUAGUAAUCGCAGAUCAGCACGCUGCGGUGAAUACGUUCCCGGGCCUUGUACACACCGCCCGUCACGCCAUGGAAGUCGGCAGUACCCGAAGUCGGUGUCCUAAUCCCGCAAGGGAAAGGAGCCGCCGAAGGUAAGGCUGAUAACUGGGGCGAAGUCGAAACAAGGUA